UACAGAGGGUGCAAGCGUUAAUCGGAAUUACUGGGCGUAAAGCGUGUGUAGGUGGUUUGCUAAGUCAGGUGUGAAAUCCCCAGGCUCAACCUGGGAACUGCAUUUGAUACUGGCAGGCUAGAGUGUGGUAGAGGAUGGUGGAAUUCCCGGUGUAGCGGUGAAAUGCGUAGAUAUCGGGAGGAACAUCAGUGGCGAAGGCGGCCAUCUGGACUAACACUGACACUGAGACGCGAAAGCGUGGGGAGCAAACAGG
rnacentral:rRNA from 1 species